AUAUGGAAGUUCUCAGGCUAGGAGGUCUAAUUGGAGCUCUAGCUGCCGGCCUACGCCACAGCCACAGCAACACCAGAUCGCAACCGCGUCUGCGACCUACACUACAGCUCACGGCAAUGUUGGAUCCUUAACCCCCUAAGCGAGGCCAGGGAUUGAACCUGCAACCUCAUGGUUCCUGGUCAAAUUCAUUUCUGCUGCACCACGACGGGAACUCCCUCAAUAGCUAUUUAAUCCCAAAAUGAACUAACGUCAUCAUGCCUCAAUUUCUUCAUCUGUAAAACCCUGUUUUAUAGAGUUAUUGAGAGAGAGGAUUAACUGAGUAAAAAUAUAUCCGAUGUUUGACAGUGAUGAUAAAGACAAAACACCCAAAACUUUUGGAUAGUCUGAAUAUACAUACCUGCUCUCUUGAGUCUUACCUGAAGGGAAAAUUUGGGGUGGUGGUUCUGAAGGCAACUGUGAAGUCUUCUGUGCUAAGGGGAAGUAUUUAUAGCUGAACACAUUCCUACACCCACAGGGCUUAUUUGGUCAUUGUCCUUCUUACUUGAAGACACUGUUAUCAUUAAGUCCUAUUUCCUGAAGAUGAUUUUAGCCAAAAUGGAAAAAAAAUUAAUGAUGAAGGAUUUAACUUAGACUUAAAUUGGAAGGCUGGCCAGACCUAAGACCACAUGGCAGUGAGAGGUGUGACCUCUGGUUCAAUCCAGAGCAAUUUAUCUGGGCUUAGGAUAAAUCACCAUUGCCAAUAGGCAAUCAGAUGUUAGAACAUUCCAGAUGCUCCUGGCCAUUGGACUGGAGAGGGUUCCUGCUAAACCUUUAUAGAUGUUCAAACCAAUCUGAACCACUUCCAGGUAUUCCCCUGGGCUCCCUGGCCCUAAGGUGAUGUGGAGAAGAAUCCAGGCCAGAUUUUACCAGAGCCUUUUUCUCCCCUGGGUCAGAAGCGGGUUUUCUCUCAGUUUUAUCCAUUUUUCACUUAAAGGUUGAUAUUAAGCUUAACACUGUGUAACCCCACUCCCUAGAGCAAUAAAAAAUAAGCCACCCGAAAAUCCUAUUCAAAAGGGUAAAUAUUAGAAUAAGAUAAACAUCUGAGCUGCCUUAAAAAGACCAUUGUAUUCAAGCAAACUGCCAUUUCCUUAGCUUGAGGAAGGCUCUGAAUUCAGAGCACUCUGAGGAAGGGGUCCAGCUGUGGUAAGAGAAGGCUAUUAUUAUUGGCACUGUUUAUCCAGCCCCUACUAUGUGCCAAGUUCCAAUCACAUGCUUUAUCCACUAGUUCGCUAAUCUAGCAACCCUUCAGGACUGAUGUCUCAGUCCCCAUUUACCAAAGAUCCCACUCUCACGCGCUUUUCACCAAAACUAUGUGGCCGCCCCAGUUAGAUGGAUGGGCUGGGUCAGCCAAACACCCUCUAAGUUCCAUCCUCCAGGACUUGCCUCCUGGCCUUAGGUAAGUGGUACAUCCUUUAGCUCAUUCUCUCAUCUCCAUCUCAGAACAUCCCUCUUUCUUCUGGAAUAAUGUGUAGGGAAAACCAGUGCUUCCUCUUUACUGUUUAGAACUUACCGUAUGGUUCUAAACACUCUUAAAUGCACUGUAUAAAUUAAUCUUUAAAUGUGAUGCUAUUAUUAACCACAUUUUACAGAGGCAUGGGAGGUUCAGAAAUGCCCAAUCCACUGACUCAGAACUGAUUUUGGUUCUAACUAAAAUUUCCUAACCAAAAUCUAAGCCAGACAACAUGAUAGGAAGGACAGAAAAGCAGCCUUGACUUCUUUCAGUCUGCGUCCGUGAGACUUUCGCUGUCAUUUUCCCAAAAGGCCCAUCUCUGCCAGUGUUGGUCAGGCUUCAGUCCAGACUGAGGGAAGCACUUUGAAAGGCUCAAGAUGUUAAAGCGUAUCUGACCUCAUAAAGAAGUCAUGGGCCAUUCCACCGUUAUCCCUAGGUGCAAAGAGCAAGAGAGAACCACCUGUGAAAAAGAGAGAGAGAGACGUCUUCUGAUUUGAUGCAGGGUAACAUGAAGGUACAUGAGAGAAGUGCCCGGGUGUUCGUAAGCCCUAAUACAGAGCACACUCCUAAAGGGCCCACCAGGAUGUGCUUUCUCUACGAAAAGUGAAGGAGGAUGCUAGAGUGGGAGGUCAUGUACAGGUUGCCUUUUCUGUCUGGGAGGUUAGGGUGGUGGGUUUUGUUUGUUCUAGUUGCUUUUUAAGUUUUCCUGAAGCUUGUGUUUCUAGAUGACUAUCUCCUGAGCAGUCAAGCAAAUGGACAAACACAUUAGGGCAAAAACAAACAUUUACACAGGCAGGGAAGUCAUUUCUCCCAAGUCCCCUACUUCACAGGACUGUAUCCAUUUAGGGAUUAAAACAAGCUGGCUUUUUUUUCCCUAAAGAGAGUGGAUUCCUUCCAGAAUUCCCAUGCCCUAGAGAGCUGGGGCACACUUGGAUGAUGGGAUUCUUUCUUCUUGUUCCACAAAUGAAAACCCAGUUCAGAUGAGCAGCGCACAUGGUAACUUCACAGCCUCUCCCUGCGCUGGCAAUCCCAGCUGUUAGGUUUUUUCUUUGCCUUUAACCAUGUCCUUAAAUUCCAGAAAGCUGGUAUAGGAGCCAACUAUAUACAAAACUUCUUUUAAAGAGAUCUAACUGGGCUCUCACCAGUCAUUACCCUGGGAGAUUAAUUAUUCCCCCUUCUGCAAAAUCCGUACAGCCCAUGUAGAUCUAAAAUUAUAGAAAGUACAGGCUGAAAGGCCCCUGAGGGCUCAUCUAGUCCAGUUUUUCAAACCAAACCAUGAGGGGGUCAGGAAGUCAACAUAAAGUCCCUUUUUAAAAAUAGAAAAACAGAGAAUUUCACACAGAAAAAGUAAUUGCUGUUUCAUAAAACUUCUGUUUCAGUUACAUAUAUAUAGUUCUGAGUGUCAUGCUGUAAAACUAAGAACACUCCUUACUGUGUGUGGGUCCUGGUCUAAAAAUGCGAGUUCCUAUUGUUGUUCAGCGGUGACAAAUCCAACUAGUAUCCAUGAGGCUGCAGGUUCGAUCCCUGGCCUUAUUCAGUGGGUUAGGGAUCUGGCGUUGGCAUGAAUUGCAGAUGUGGGCCAGAAGCUAUAGCUCCAAUUCAACUCCUAGCCUGAGAAUUUCCAUGUGCCACAGGUGCGGCCCUAAAAAGACAAAAUAAAUAAAUAAAUACAUAAAUGAAAAUUUUGAAAAUCAAUGACCAACGCUCUGGUUUUAUAGGUGGAGAAAUUGAGGCCCAAAAGGGACAAUAACUUACCCAGGGUUUGGGGGCUGACUAGGGGGGAUCCAGCCCUUCUUCACCUUCUUCCUAACAUGCCAACCCCUGGCUCCCUCUCACUGGUCAGCACACAGAUCGCAUAUAUUAGGUCCUGCCUGGUGUUGUGUGUGUCAGCAUAUAAUCCCCCUCAAACAGCAGACAGCAAAAUAACCCCCUUGGAGGGCAAGUUCUUUUUAUCACCCCACAGCUCAGAGCACAGUACAGAGCUCUGGGCAGGCAUUGGAUGUUCAUUGGUGAAUCACUGAGGUGGGCAGAAGAGGGCUCAGGAAUGAUAAGAGUUAUGAAAAUGCCCAAGAAAGGAGAAGAGCUCCAUGGGAAGGCCACCAUGUUUGUGAGUUCCGGACCCAGGGGCAGUGAUGACGAGGACUCCAACAGUGACCUCCCAGGUACUGGGCUGAGCUCUGAGGAAGCCAUACUUUAUUCACUCCUCGUUAGAAGCUGGUGGGAGGCUAUUACCCAGGGCUUACCGAGGUUUAGGAACUUGGCCAAGGUCAUUGGGCUAGCCAGGAUUCAACCUCAAGCGAUCAGGCUUCAGAUUCACUGCUCUUAACCACUCCACUCCAUUUCUCUUCUUGAAAAAGGGCAGAGAAAGUCCUCAGAAUGUUAGCUUCCUAGCAUUGCAGCAAUGAUUAGGUGCUUAACAAAUCUGUUGCAAGACUGAAGGAGAGGGUAAUGGAAGAAGGACUGCUCUAGCUUGCCCACAGGAUAAAAAGCAUAGUAUCACUGAAGUAGAACAGAGCAGGGCUAGCCUGGAGAAACAAGCCGGCACAAGAUAAACCAUCUUCCAAAGGGGGAGCAGAUACUCAUGGAACGCAAUUGUCGGAGACCUUCCCAUCCCUCCUUCCACCCGCCAGUUGUCAUCCAUCAUGCCCGCCAUUGCCAAUAGGACCAAAGGGCACAGUGACCACACCCUCAGUCUAAGGGUAUGCAUUUGUAACCCUAGAGUAUGGGUUUAUAACCCAGUGAAGAAGUCUGAUGGGCCUAUUCCCUAAAUCAACAUCCCUCUGAAAUUCUUGUUCAAAAAGUAAAUAAAUAAAUAAAGAUAAUGUGAGGUUGAGCUGUGGAAGAGAAAAUUAACUCAGCUUUUCAUCAGCUUGGACUCCUGGGGUUGUCAAAGGCAGAGUGUCAAAUUAAAACAUACAGCUAAAAUAAAGAAGAAAAGGGAAAGAAAAGCCUGUCUCUGGGAGAGAGCCUUUUCUUUCUAUUCUUCACUGUCAAGGAGGCAAAGCUGGUUUGGUUAUUCUGGUUUGCUCCCCUGGAGAAAUUCUCAAUAUGAUUGGCAAGAAGUCAGGAAUAACAAGAUAGAGUGGUGAUGUAAAAGCCUGUGGAAACAGUAGAUCCUUUGUGCUGUCCUUGUCUUAGUCUUAAAGUGGGAAGAAAAGCUGGGAUUUGGGCUUUGAUGCAGAGCCCUUGCAUGUAAAAUUUACAGUAUCCUUCCUAUCGGAAAUGCUUAAAUACUUUCAGGUAUUUACAAUCUGUCUCAACAUUUGGCUGACUCCUGGCAAUUUUCUGCUUUCAUUCACAUUAACUACUUAAAGGAAAACUCCAGGGCAGCAUUUUGAGUAGCACAUUGAAUUAAAACAAAGAAUAAAUCUCCAAAGAAACACUGGAGAGUCUGGAAUGCAGUCAUCUAAGAAAAAAAAUCAUUAUUCUUCACAAAUACAAAACAAUGGCAAGACAUUGACAAGGACCUAGAAAGCUGAGAAAACUAGCCCAGGCAAAACUGCAUUUGAAACCACAAUACUCUUCUCUUGAAAACACUUGAAAGCCCUGACAUUCCAUUGUUCUGUUGUGUCUACAAUUUAAAAUCCCUUUAAUAAUCACAAUAGAUACAGUCCAUUCUUGGGUCUAACUUAAUCCCUCCAACUGCCAUUUAAUUUGAAUUGUCUUAUAUCUUGCACUCAAUGGAAAAAGAAACACUAUGUAUUUACAUCACAUAAUACCUUGAGCUCCUGGGAUCUUUGCCUGGAAGAAGUCUCAAGGCUUCUGUUUCAUCUUUUGAAUUUUAUACUCCAUACCAAUAUGGUCUGUGUUUGUCUUCAUAUGAAAAUGCUAUUUAAGCUAUCAUCAAGUUAGCAAAUUCACUAGGAAAAUACACUGUUUUCCAGAUUCUGAACACAUCCCCACCACACUGGCCCAUGGACCCCAUUAAAAAGCCCAGCUCUAGAUGAAGUCUUGAUCCAUUAAAAUGCACUUGGCUCCAAGUAACAGUAUGUCAAUUUAAAGUAGCCUAAACACUGGCAAAAAUGUGUUAAUGCACAUUAAAAAAAAAUCCAAAGAUAAAUGGUACAAGGUUGUUUUAGUGCCUCAAAAAUGUCACCAAGGAAGUUCCCAUUGUGGCUCAGUGGGUUAAGAGCCCGACUAGUAUCCUUGAGGAUGAAGAAGACAAAGAAUGCAGCAGGCCAUCUAUUGAGAACCUGCAUGUUAUGGGCACUUUGCAGUAUUUCAGUGAGUCAGCUCUUUCAAUUAGGUAUCAUCCCAUUUAUAGAUAUGGUAACUGACAUAUUGCUGGAAAUACAUAGAUUGCUCAAGAUUAUAUGGCUGUGUCCCAAAGAAGGAACACAUCUAUGCCUACUUGACUCUAAAGCUUCACUUUUUACCCGCUAAUCCACUGAACUGGUUCUACCAGUCUCCUUUUCUCCCCUAGGACUCUUUCUUAGCCUCCCCGCAAAACUUUCUCCCUUCUCCUAUGUCUCUGAGGAGGAAUGAUCCAGUCUCUCCUUUCUGGGGUCAACAGCCACACUGUGCCCAUUAUUGUCUGCUCUGUACCCCCUUCCUAUCUUCAAAUAGUUCUUCUUUUUUUUUUCAAUUUCUCUCUCUCUACUCAACACUUCCCUGAAUCCCUCCUCACUGUCUGCUUCCCCAAGCUCCCUGUCCUGAAAAAGCCAUUAUUUCCCCAGCCCUCUCUGUUGUUUCUCCUUUGUCACCAUCAAUCCAGCUAGUCCCUAAACUAAUUAAAGCUAAAGUGUUAAUGGAUGACAUCCCUUCUAAAUACUGUAUUUGUUUUAUUAAUGGAAGCCUUUGGAAAUCUACCUACAGAACAACCUUAGGGAAAGAAAAUUUCAGGGACAUAAUUUUAAGUUGAGAGAUGACAGACAAAAUGAGUGGGGUCUCAAUACCUGUUGUAAUUAUGGAAAGAAAGAGGGAACCCCUGUUGGACCACUCAUGAAGGAUGGAUCCCAGAUUCUUCCCAGACAUGUCCCAGAUUUUGAUCUUCACAACAACCCCUUCAAGGAAAGUACUAAGAGUCCUGAUUUUCUGCUUAGGAACUAAGGCUCAGAGAAGUUAAGAAACUUGCACAGGAGUUUCUGCUGUGGUUCAGUGGAUUAAGAAUCUGACUGCAGUGGCUCAAGUCACUGCAGAAGUGCAUGUUCUAUCCCCAGCCCCAGGAACUGCCAUAUGGCACAGGUGCAGCCAUUUUUAAAGGACGGGGGGAGUUCCCAUCGUGGCUCAGCAGGUUAAGAACCCCACUAGUAUCCAUGAGGAUUCAGGUUCAGUCCCUAGCCUCGAUCAGUGGGCUAAGGAUCCAGCAUUGCUGUGGGCUGUGGUGUAGGUCUGUGGCAUAGGUCACAGAUGCAGCUAGAGUCCUGCGUGGCUGUGGUGUAGGCUGGCAGCUGCAGCUCUGAUUCCACCCCUAGCCCAGGAACUUCCAUAUGCCAUAGGCA
rnacentral:lncRNA from 1 species